AGCAGCCGCGGUAAUUCCAGCUCCAAUAGCGUAUAUUAAAGUUGUUGUGGUUAAAAAGCUCGUAGUUGAACCUUGGGCCUGGCUGGCCGGUCCGCCUCACCGCGUGUACUGGUCCGGCCGGGCCUUUCCCUCUGUGGAACCCCAUGCCCUUCACUGGGUGUGGCGGGGAAACAGGACUUUUACUUUGAAAAAAUUAGAGUGCUCCAGGCAGGCCUAUGCUCGAAUACAUUAGCAUGGAAUAAUAGAAUAGGACGUGUGGUUCUAUUUUGUUGAUUUCUAGGACCGCCGUAAUGAUUAAUAGGGACAGUCGGGGGCAUCAGUAUUCAAUUGUCAGAGGUGAAAUUCUUGGAUUUAUUGAAGACUAACUACUGCGAAAGCAUUUUGCCAAGGAUGUUUUCAUUAAUCAGGAACGAAAGUUAGGGGAUCGAAGACGAUCAGAUACCGUCGUAGUCUUAACCAUAAACUAUGCCGACUAGGGAUCGGACGAUGUUAUUUAUUGACUCGUUCGGCACCUUACGGG
rnacentral:misc_RNA from 1 species